ACUCUCCACUCCGAGGCUCAGGGAGCAAGUGCCUGGCAUGGGGGGUAAAAGUUGGCUUUUUUUUUACUCCUUGGUCUUUUGCGCCCUUCUCCCUCUCCCCAGAAGGGAAGACCCAUUUAAACUAUUUUAGACGCAAUCAACCAAGAAUCACCAUGUGGAAUUGAGCGGCAGUUUUAAAUGUGUUGAGCAGGGGAGAGGAAUGAUGAGAAAAACAUUUUUUUUUUUUUUUUUGGAGACGCCGAAAGAAGCCUGUUUGUGUGCUGCGGCCGUGCUGUGACUUUGGAUCUUGUCUUUCAGCCGGCGCCUCGGUUCCUGCCCAGCUGGAUUUGGGGGGCAGCAUUGCCUGGCGCAGGGAGAUCAAAUGAGACUGCAAAGAAGCAUAAAAUGAAUAGACAAUCCAACCAACCAAAGAGAGAGAUUUCUUCCAGUCUUUGGAUACUAGAACGAUCUACACUAGCACGGAGGAGGUAAAAGGCCGCGGGUUGCUUUUCCAGGAGCAGUCGGUAGUGCUAGCGGAAGAGAUGUUGAUUGAGAAAAUAG
rnacentral:lncRNA from 1 species